UACGUAGGGCGCAAGCGUUGUCCGGAAUUAUUGGGCGUAAAGAGCUCGUAGGCGGUUUGUCGCGUCUGCCGUGAAAAUCCGAGGCUCAACCUCGGACUUGCGGUGGGUACGGGCAGACUAGAGUGUGGUAGGGGAGACUGGAAUUCCUGGUGUAGCGGUGAAAUGCGCAGAUAUCAGGAGGAACACCGAUGGCGAAGGCAGGUCUCUGGGCCACUACUGACGCUGAGAAGCGAAAGCGUGGGGAGCGAACAGG
rnacentral:rRNA from 1 species